UGAAUACGAGACGCUAAGGCGUCGAAGUAGUGUAUGUCAUACUUCCAAGAAAAGCUUGCACUGUCAUAGAUAAAAAACGCCUGUACCAUAACCGACACAGGUGGGUAGGUAGAGUAUACUAAGGGGCGCGAGAUAACUCUCUCUAAGGAACUCGGCAAAAUAACUCCGUAACUUCGGGAGAAGGAGUGCCUUAUUCGUAAGGUUGCAAUAACAAGAUCCAAGCAACUGUUUAUCAAAAACACAGGUCUCCGCUAAGUCGUAAGACGAUGUAUGGGGGCUGACGCCUGCCCAGUGCCAGAAGGUUAAAGAAGUUGGUUAGCAAUUGCGAAGCUGAUAACUGAAGCCCUGGUGAACGGCGGCCGUAACGAUAACGGUCCUAAGGUAGCGAAAUUCCUUGUCGGGUAAGUUCCGACCCGCACGAAAGGCGUAAUGAUUUGGAUACUGUCUCGGAGAGGGGCUCGGUGAAAUAGACUUGUCUGUGAAGAUGCGGACUACCUGCACCAGGACAGAAAGACCCUAUGAAGCUUUACUGUAACUUGAAAUUGAAAUUGGACUUUAUUCGCGCAGCAUAGGUGGGAGGCGUUGAUUAUAAUCUUGCGGGAUUAUUGGAGCCAUCAGUGAGAUACCACUCUUGUAAUGUUAGAUUUCUAACUUUGAAUCAUUAUCUGGUCAAAGAACAGUUUCAGGCGGGCAGUUUGACUGGGGCGGUCGCCUCCUAAACGGUAACGGAGGCGUACAAAGGUUUCCUCUGAACGGUUAGAAAUCGUAUCUAGAGUGUAAAGGCAUAAGGAAGCUUGACUGUGAGACCUACAAGUCGAGCAGGGACGAAAGUCGGUCUUAGUGAUCUGACGGUACUGAGUGGAAAGGCCGUCACUCAACGGAUAAAAGUUACUCUAGGAUAACAGGCUGAUCUCCCCCAAGAGUUCACAUCGACGGGGAGGUUUGGCACCUUGAUGUCGGCUCAUCGCAUCCUGGGGCGGUAGUACGUCCCAAGGGUUGGGCUGUUCGCCCAUGAAAGCGGUACGCGAGCUGGGUUCAGAACGUCGUGAGACAGUUCGGUCCAUAUCCGGUGUAGGCGUUAGAAUAUUGAGAGGAGCCUUCUUUAGUACGAGAGGACCGAGAAGGACAUACCUCUGGUGUACCAGUUAUCGUGCCAACGGUAAACGCUGGGUAGCUAUGUAUGGAGUGGAUAACCGCUGAAAGCAUCUAAGUGGGAAGCCCACCUCAAGAUAAGUAUUCUCC
rnacentral:rRNA from 1 species